UACGUAGGCAGCAAGCGUUGUUCGGAAUUACUGGGCGUAAAGAGUGUGUAGGCGGUUGUUCUAAGUUUGUCGUGAAAUCUCCCGGCUUAACUGGGAGGGUGCGGCGAAAACUGGAAUGCUAGAGGAUGGGAGAGGUAAGCGGAAUUCCUGGUGUAGCGGUGAAUGCGUAGAUAUCAGGAGGAACACCUGUGGUGUAGACAGCUUACUGGACCAUUCUGACGCUGAGACACGAAAGCGUGGGUAGCAAACAGG
rnacentral:rRNA from 1 species